UACCUCGCCCUCGCCAUAGAUAUUUAUCAAUUGUCAUUUCAUUUGCUUCCAAGAGCAAUACUCCCUACCAGCAUAAUUGCAAAGCGAGGACUGUGAACCAACUCGAUAGACCUGGUUUGACACAAACGCCACCAGCAGUACUACUUAAUUACAUCUUCUACUCAAAUCUUCAAUUUGCUGCUUGCUUCUUUAGCUUCUAUUUAUAUUUUCAAGUAAAAGCUCUUCUUUCCUCCGUUCUUGACUACUCUCAGAUAUAGAUAUAGCUGUAUUCACAUACAGAACUGAGCAGCUUGAAGCAACG
rnacentral:sRNA from 2 species